AUUGAACGCUGGCGGCAGGCCUAACGCAUGCAAGUCGAACGGUAACAGGAAGAAGCUUGCUUCUUUGCUGACGAGUGGCGGACGGGUGAGUCAUGUCUGGGAAACUGCCUGAUGGAGGGGGAUAACUACUGGAAACGGUAGCUAAUACCGCAUAACUUCUCAAGACCAAAGAGGGGGACCUUCGGGCCUCUUGCCAUCGGAUUUGCCCAGAUGGGAUUCGCUAGUAGGUGGGGUAACGGCUCACCUAGGCGACGAUCCCUAGCUGGUCUGAGAGGAUGACCAGCCACACUGGAACUGAGACACGGUCCAGACUCCUACGGGAGGCAGCAGUGGGGAAUAUUGCACAAUGGGCGCAAGCCUGAUGCAGCCAUGCCGCGUGUAUGAAGAAGGCCUUCGGGUUGUAAAGUACUUUCAGCGGGGAGGAAGGGAGUAAAGUUAAUACCUUUGCUCAUUGACGUUACCCGCAGAAGAAGCACCGGCUAACUCCGUG
rnacentral:rRNA from 1 species